rnacentral:rRNA from 1 species
CCUACGGGCGGCUGCAGUGAGGAAUUUUGCGCAAUGGGGGAAACCCUGACGCAGCGACGCCGCGUGGAGGAUGAAGUCCUUCGGGAUGUAAACUCCUGUCAGAGGGGAUGAUGAUGACAGUACCCUCAGAGGAAGCACCGGCUAACUCCGUGCCAGCAGCCGCGGUAAGACGGAGGGUGCUAGCGUUGCUCGGAAUUACUGGGCGUAAAGCGUACGUAGGCGGCGGAUUAAGUCGAAUGUUAAAGCCUGGGGCUCAACCCCAGAGAUGCACUCGAUACUGGUCUGCUAGAGUGUGAUAGAGGAGAGCGGAAUUCCCAGUGUAGCGGUGAAAUGCGUAGAUAUUGGGAGGAACAUCAGUAGCGAAGGCGGCUUUCUGGGUCACACCUGACGCUGAGGUACGAAAGCGUGGGGAGCAAACGGGAUUAGAUACCCCUGUAGUCCA